rnacentral:lncRNA from 1 species
UUUCUCUCAUUUUCAAAUUACUCUUUCAUUUUCUAAUUUCAUUUCUCUCUUUUCGUGAAAGUUAGAAUCAUAAACCAUUCUCCAUAAAAUCACCAUCAAUGCACCUAUUUAACCAUGGUAUGCCUCUGUUUUACCUUAUUUGUUUAUGUCACCAAAUCAUAGACGCAAAAAGUCUCACACUUAAAAAAGAUAUGUUAAUGUGUCAAUUGUGAUUUAAAGUUCCAUAUUAGAUACAAUUGUAUAUGUCGAGACACAUGUAAUAUGUGAUGAUCAAUGUAAGAGUAGAUGUUUAAUUUUUAUAUUAUAUUUAAAUUUUUGGCUGUUGUUCGUUAUUUCCUGC